AUUGAACGCUGGCGGCAUGCUUUACACAUGCAAGUCGAACGGAAACAGGGUGCUUGCACCGCUGACGAGUGGCGAACGGGUGAGUAAUGCGUCGGAACGUGCCGAGUAGUGGGGGAUAACGCAGCGAAAGUUGUGCUAAUACCGCAUACGUACUGAGGUAGAAAGUGGGGGACCUUCGGGCCUCACGCUAUUCGAGCGGCCGACGUCUGAUUAGCUAGUAGGUGAGGUAAAGGCUCACCUAGGCGACGAUCAGUAGCGGGUCUGAGAGGAUGAUCCGCCACACUGGGACUGAGACACGGCCCAGACUCCUACGGGAGGCAGCAGUGGGGAAUUUUGGACAAUGGGCGAAAGCCUGAUCCAGCCAUGCCGCGUGUCUGAAGAAGGCCUUCGGGUUGUAAAGGACUUUUGUCAGGGAGGAAAUCCCUAGUGCUAAUAACACUGGGGGAUGACAGUACCUGAAGAAUAAGCACCGGCUAACUACGUGCCAGCAGCCGCAGUAA
rnacentral:rRNA from 1 species